UGCUGCUUAAUUCACAAAGAGGGAUUACCAGACAGAAUUUCCAGAAGUUUAAGCGGGGAGCCUGUUCACAGGCAGCAACAGAUUGUUUCUGAUGAACUCUGCCAUUCAGUGCAAACAGAAAAAGGCUUGAUAAGGCAUCAAAUACAUGGAGGGGUGAUGACAGCACUUCAUUUUCAUUUUUCAAACUUCAUUUUGCAGUGCCCAAACUAUAGAGGACGGGGGGAAAGAUUUUCAAAGCUGGCAUUGUGGGGAAGCAAACAAAGAG